CAUUUUUAUUUUAUUCAUCUGAUUUGAUAUCUAUCUGUAAUUGAUAUAUACAGUAUAUAUCUUUCAUGUCUUUAGGUUGGGUGGAGCAUUGCAGGCACCACCAUGCAUUGACAAUCUGCCUGUGAUAGAUGCCAGUGAGACAGUACAUGACAUACCGGAUGUAGAGCCUCCAUCAGUCACCUUACCUACACUUCAACAACCUGGCUUUCCUGAUACACUGGAGGUCAUGACUGAAGAUGACCAAAUCGGGAAACGGGCCUCCAUCACUUAUGAGGACUGUUUGAGGCAGCUUGCAACAUUACUUGUGCUUCCGAUCCAAAAGUGCCCAUACAAAUGUGACGUCAGCAAAGUGGAGUGUCAGUGUCACCCUCCAUUUGAAGCUUCCAUUACGCGCAGGGGUACUGCAAGCAUCAUGGAAUGGACCUGCCUUGUUGGCCACACUGUAUGGAGAUGGAGCUCACAGCCCACUUUGAGGUACGGGAUGCAACAGGGGACUUUAUGUUGGCAAGCAACAUACUACUCUCCGGAAGCAACUACGCCAAAGUCUCACUUCUGUUCCAGUUUAUGAACAUGGGGAUGGUGGACCGUAGUUCAUUUUUCACAAUUAGGGGCACAUACGGUGUAGACACUGUGAAGGAGUUUUGGGAGGAGAGAUAAAUCGCCUAAAAGACAGAGAUGUGGUAUUAGUAGCGGAUGGAAGAAUGGACAGUCCUGGACAUUGCGCCCAGUACUGUACAUACACUGCCAUGGAGAACGAAUCCAGGGAAAUCAUCUCUGUCAUCACUGUGGACAAAAGGGAGACUGGGCGAAAUUCUGUGAUCAUGGAGAGAGAGGCAUUUGUGCGGACAGUCGACACUCUUUUGAAUGAAGUGAAACUAGUAGAGGUCUGCACUGAUGCCCAUGUCCAGAUCUCCACACUAAUGAACAAAGGAAAGUACAAAGACCUUGGGCUGCAGCACAGCUUGGAUAUGUGGCAUGGGGCCAAGAAUUUGGCAAAAAGGAUCCAUGCUGGAAGUUCAG